AACGCACAUUGCGCCCUCUGGUAUUCCAGAGGGCAUGCCUGUUCGAGCGUCAUUUCAACCCUCAAGCCUAGCUUGGUGUUGGGGCAUUACCUGACUGUUCUUUUACAGAAGGGUAAGCCCUGAAAUUUAGUGGCGAGCUCGCCAGGACUCCGAGCGUAGUAGUAAAACCCUCGCUUAGGAUCGUACUGGCGCGGCCCUGCCGUAAAACCCCCAACUUCUGAAAAUUUGACCUCGGAUCAGGUAGGAAUACCCGCUGAACUUAA
rnacentral:misc_RNA from 1 species